rnacentral:rRNA from 1 species
UACAUGGGGUGCAAACGCUGCUCGGAAUUAUUGGGCGUAAAGCGCACGUAGGCGGUUUGUUAAGUCGGAUGUGAAAUCCCUCGGCUCAACUGAGGAAGUGCAUCCGAAACUGGCAAGCUUGAGUACGAAAGAGGGUCGCGGAAUUCCCGGUGUAGAGGUGAAAUUCGUAGAUAUCGGGAGGAACACCGGUGGCGAAGGCGGCGACCUGGGUCGAUACUGACGCUGAGGUGCGAAAGCGUGGGGAGCAAACAGG